UGAGGAAUAUUGGUCAAUGGGCGAGAGCCUGAACCAGCCAAGUAGCGUGCAGGAUGACGGCCCUAUGGGUUGUAAACUGCUUUUAUGUGGGGAUAAAGUGCGUGACGUGUCAUGCAUUGCAGGUACCACAUGAAUAAGGACCGGCUAAUUCCGUGCCAGCAGCCGCGGUAAUACGGACGGUCCGGGCGUUAUCCGGAUUUAUUGGGUUUAAAGGGAGCGUAGGCUGUCUAUUAAGCGUGUUGUGAAAUUUACCGGCUCAACCGGUGGCUUGCAGCGCGAACUGGUCGACUUGAGUAUGCAGGAAGUAGGCGGAAUUCAUGGUGUAGCGGUGAAAUGCUUAGAUAUCAUGACGAACUCCGAUUGCGCAGGCAGCUUACUGUAGCAUAACUGACGCUGAUGCUCGAAAGUGCGGGUAUCAAACAGG
rnacentral:rRNA from 1 species